UCGGGAAUUUUGGGCAAUGGGCGAAAGCCUGACCCAGCAACGCCGCGUGAAGGAUGAAGUAUUUCGGUAUGUAAACUUCGAAAGAAUGGGAAGAAUGAAUGACGGUACCAUUUAUAAGGUCCGGCUAACUACGUGCCCGCAGCCGCGGUAAUACGUAGGGACCAAGCGUUGUUCGGAUUUACUGGGCGUAAAGGGCGCGUAGGCGGCAUGUUAAGUCAGCUGUGAAAUCUCCGAGCUUAACUCGGAACGGUCAGCUGAUACUGAUGUGCUAGAGUGCAGAAGGGGCAAUCGGAAUUCUUGGUGUAGCGGUGAAAUGCGUAGAUAUCAAGAGGAACACCUGAGGUGAAGACGGGUUGCUGGGCUGACACUGACGCUGAGGCGCGAAAGCCAGGGGAGCAA
rnacentral:rRNA from 1 species